AUGACAGUUGAUCAAUUGGAAGAACUGAAAGCCCUUUGGUGUGCUUUCUUUCCUGGAACUGAUCUUUGGGGAAUAACAUCUGAAGAAUGGAAAGAGAUUGGUUGGCAAGGAACAGACCCAUCUACAGGUUUUAGAGGUGGAGGCUUCGUCUCCUUGGAAAAUUUGUUAUUCUUCGCCAUGAUCUAUCUGGCAGGCAGGACCCAACAACUGCUUCUUCCAUCAAUUCUUCAAUCUGCAUUCCGUAUUUUUGCUGUUAACUAUCCAUCAGUUCCCAGUUUGCAUAGAGGCUGA
rnacentral:rRNA from 1 species